AGCGAACGCUGGCGGCAGGCCUAACACAUGCAAGUCGAACGGCAGCACAGUAAGAUCUUGCUCUUACGGGUGGCGAGUGGCGGACGGGUGAGGUAUACAUCGGAAUCUACUUUUUCGUGGGGGAUAACGUAGGGAAACUUACGCUAAUACCGCAUACGACCUACGGGUGAAAGCAGGGGAUCUUCGGACCUUGCGCGAUUGAAUGAGCCGCUGUCGGAUUAGCUAGUUGGCGGGGUAAAGGCCCACCAAGGCGACGAUCCGUAGCUGGUGUGAGAGGAUGAUCGGCCGCAUUGGAACUGAGACAGGGUCCAGGCUCCUACGGGAGGCAGCAGUGGGGAAUAUUGGGCAAUGGGCGCAAGCCUGAUCCAGCCAUACCGCGUGGGUGAAGAAGGCCUUCGGGUUGUAAAGCCCUUUUGUUGGGAAAGAAAAGCAGCAGGUUAAUACCCCGCUGUUCUGACGGUACCCAAAGAAUAAGCACCGGCUAACUUCGUG
rnacentral:rRNA from 1 species